rnacentral:rRNA from 1 species
CGGGGCUUAAUGUCUUGUAAUUGGAAUGAUGGGAAUUUAAACCUCUUCCAGAGUAUCAAUUGGAGGGCAAGUCUGGUGCCAGCAGCCGCGGUAAUUCCAGCUCCAAUAGCGUAUAUUAAAAUUGUUGCAGUUAAAAAGCUCGUAGUUGAAUUUCUGCUGCAUUGAUAUUUCUCUUGUUGAGUUUAUCAUUGUGGCUUAUUUCGGAUUGAUUUUUUUUCUUUCCGGAUGAUUACUUUGAGAAAAUUAGAGUGCUCAAAGCAGGCUUUUGCCUUGAAUAGUUUAGCAUGGAAUAAUAAAGUAGGACUUUGGUUCUAUUUUGUUGGUUUUAGGUACCAAAGUAAUGGUUAAUAGGAACAGUUGGGGGCAUUCGUAUUUAACUGUCAGAGGUGAAAUUCUUAGAUUUGUUAAAGACGAACUACUGCGAAAGCAUUUGCCAAGGAUGUUUUCAUUAAUCAAGAAC